rnacentral:rRNA from 1 species
AUUGAACGCUAGCGGGAUGCUUAACACAUGCAAGUCGAACGAGUGGCGGACGGGUGAGUAAUAUAUGGGAACGUGCCCAGUAGCGGGGGAUAACUACUCGAAAGAGUGGCUAAUACCGCAUACAAUAGGAGGGGCCGAUAUCGGAUUAGGUAGUUGGUGGGGUAAAGGCUCACCAAGGCAACGAUCCGUAGCUGGUUUGAGAGGACGACCAGCCACACUGGGACUGAGACACGGCCCAGACUCCUACGGGAGGCAGCAGUGGGGAAUUUUGGACAAUGGGGGAAACCCUGAUCCAGCCAUCCCGCGUGUAUGAGAAGGCCUUCGGGUUGUAAAGUACUUUUGGCAGAGAAGCGGUAUCUGCAGAAUAAGCACCGGCUAACUACGUGCCAGCAGCCGCGGUAAUUC